rnacentral:snRNA from 1 species
GUGCUCGCUUCGGCAGCACAUAUACUAAAAUUGGAACGAUACAGAGAAGAUUAGCAUGGCCCCUGCGUUAUGAGGAGCGGCUGAGGGAACUGGGGUUGUUUA